GACGAACCGGGCGAACGUUGUUCGGAAUCACUGGGCUUAAAGGGCGCGUAGGCGGGUGCUCAAGUCCGGGGUGAAAUCCUCCAGCUCAACUGGAGAACUGCCUCGGAUACUGGGCGCCUCGAGGGUGGUAGGGGUAUGCGGAACUAUCGGUGGAGCGGUGAAAUGCGUUGAUAUCGAUAGGAACUCCGGUGGCGAAGGCGGCAUACUGGACCACAUCUGACGCUGAGGCGCGAAAGCCAGGGGAGCAAACGGG
rnacentral:rRNA from 1 species